rnacentral:rRNA from 1 species
AUUGAACGCUGGCGGCAUGCCUUACACAUGCAAGUCGAACGGUAACGGGCCUUCGGGUGCCGACGAGUGGCGAACGGGUGAGUAAUACAUCGGAACGUGCCCGAUCGUGGGGGAUAACGAGGCGAAAGCUUUGCUAAUACCGCAUACGAUCUACGGAUGAAAGCAGGGGACCGCAAGGCCUUGCGCGGACGGAGCGGCCGAUGGCAGAUUAGGUAGUUGGUGGGAUAAAAGCUUACCAAGCCGACGAUCUGUAGCUGGUCUGAGAGGAUGAUCAGCCACACUGGGACUGAGACACGGCCCAGACUCCUACGGGAGGCAGCAGUAGGGAAUUUUGGACAAUGGGCGCAAGCCUGAUCCAGCCAUGCCGCGUGCAGGAUGAAGGCCUUCGGGUUGUAAACUGCUUUUGUACGGAACGAAAAGCCUUCUUUUAAUACAGGAGGGUCAUGACGGUACCGUAAGAAUAAGCACCGGCUAACUACGUG